AUUGAACGCUGGCGGCAGGCCUAACACAUGCAAGUCGAACGAGUGGCGGACGGGUGAGUAAUGUCUGGGAAACUGCCUGAUGGAGGGGGAUAACUACUGGAAACGGUAGCUAAUACCGCAUACCAUCGGAUGUGCCCAGAGGGGAUUAGCUAGUGGGUGGGGUAACGGUUGACCAAGGCGACGAUCCCUAGCUGGUCUGAGAGGUUGACCAGCCACACUGGAUCUGAGAGACGGUCCAGACGCCUACGGGAGGCAGCAUGGGGGAAUAUUGCACAAUGGGCGCAAGCCUGAUGCAGCCAUGCCGCGUGUAUGAAGAAGGCCUUCGGGUUGGAAAGUACUUUCAGCGGGGAGGCGUUACCCGCAGAAGAAGCACCGGCUAACUCCGUGCCAGCAGCCGCGGUAAUUC
rnacentral:rRNA from 1 species